ACCCUCUCAGGGUUGGACCUGGAGAGUUUCCAGUACUCUAUCAGUUUCAAUUACAGGAGGGAGAGUCAAGCAGAGACAUAUCCAUUCCAUUAGUAGCUUGGGCAGUAGCUAGUAAGUGGAAGGCAAUCUACUACAAGU